UACGAACUGUGCGAACGUUAUUCGGAAUCACUGGGCUUACAGGGUGCGUAGGCGGCUUUUCAAGUCAGGUGUGAAAGCCCCCGGCUCAACCGGGGAAUUGCGCUUGAAACUGGAGAGCUCGAGUCAGCUAGAGGUGCACGGAACUUCCAGUGGAGCGGUGAAAUGUGUUGAUAUUGGAAGGAACACCGGAGGCGAAAGCGGUGCACUGGGGCUGGUCUGACGCUGAGGCACGAAAGCAUGGGGAGCAAAAGGG
rnacentral:rRNA from 1 species